rnacentral:rRNA from 1 species
AGGCACGGGGGCCACCCUGAUCGCAAUGCCGCGUGAGUGAAGAAGCCUUCGGGUUGUAAAGCUCUUUUGUCGGGAAAAAACCCGGCUCUAACACAGUCCGGGAGUGACGGUGCCUGAAGAAUAAGCACCGGCUAACUACGUGCCAGCCGCCGCGGUAAUACCUAGGGUGCAAGCGUUAAUCGGAACUACUGGGCGUAAAGCGUGCGCAGGCGGUUAUACAGACAGGCGUGAAAUCCCCGGGCUUAACCUGGGAAUGGCGCCUGUGACUGUAUAGCUAGAGUGUGUCAGAGGGGGGUAGAAUUCCACGUGUAGCAGUGAAAUGCGUACAUAUGUGGAGGAAUACCAAUGGCGAAGGCAGCCCCCUGGGAUAACACUGACGCUCAUGCACGAAA